GUGACUUUCAAUGAACAGUAGCUCGAGA
rnacentral:sRNA from 1 species